GUGGCAGCCGCCGCGGUAAUACGGAAGGUCCGGGCGUUAUCCGGAUUUAUUGGGUUUAAAGGGAGCGCAGGCCGGUGCUUAAGCGUGACGUGAAAUGCCGCGGCUCAACCGUGGACGUGCGUCGCGAACUGGGUGCCUUGAGUGAGGACGACGCAGGCGAAUUCGUGGUGUAGCGGUGAAAUGCUUAGAUAUCACGAAGAACCCCGAUUGCGAAAGGCAGCCUACGAGGCCUCAACUGACGCUAAAGCUCGAAGGUGCGGGUAUCGAACAGGAUUAGAUACCCUGGUAGUCCGCACGGUAAACGAUGGAUGCCCGCUGUAUGCGAUACACUGUAUGCGGCCAAGCGAAAGCGUUAAGCAUCCCACCUGGGGAGUACGCCGGCAACGGUGAAACUCAAAGGAAUUGACGGGGGCCCGCACAAGCGGAGGAACAUGUGGUUUAAUUCGAUGAUACGCGAGGAACCUUACCCGGGCUUGAACUGCAGGAGAACGAUACCAGAGAUGGUGAGGCCCUUCGGGGCUCCUGUGGAGGUGCUGCAUGGUUGUCGUCAGCUCGUGCCGUGAGGUGUCGGCUUAAGUGCCAUAACGAGCGCAACCCCUUUCGUCAGUUGCCAUCAGGUCGAGCUGGGCACUCUGGCGACACUGCCACCGUAAGGUGUGAGGAAGGUGGGGAUGACGUCAAAUCAGCACGGCCCUUACGUCCGGGGCUACACACGUGUUACAAUGGGUGAUACAGAGGGCAGGUGACGGCAACGUGCAUCGAAUCCCCAAAGUCAUCCUCAGUUCGGACUGGGGUCUGCAACCCGACCCCACGAAGCUGGAUUCGCUAGUAAUCGCGCAUCAGCCAUGGCGCGGUGAAUACGUUCCCGGGCCUUGUACACACCGCCCGU
rnacentral:rRNA from 1 species